UGGCCGUUUACCGUGACAAAAUUAGAGUGUUCAAAGCAGGCAGAUCCAAUUGUCUGCCACCGAAUACAUUAGCAUGGGAUAAUGGAAUAGGACCCUGUCCUCCUAUUUUCAGUUGGUUUGCCGCGAGGACCAGGGUAAUGAUUAAUAGGGAUAGUUGGGCAUUAAUAUUUAAUUGUCAGAGGUGAAAUUCUUGGAUUUAUGAAAGAUUAACUUCUGCGAAAGCAUCUCCAAGGAUGUUUCAUUAAUCAAGAACGAAAGUUAGGGGAUCGAAGACGAUCAGAUACCGUCGUAGUCUUAACCAUAAACGAUGCCGACCAGCGAUUAGGAGACGUUGAAUACAAAACACCAUGCGCAUUGCGGUCGUCUUUGGUGUCGCUCACAAGGCGGCACCGGGGCGGCUUAGCUCGCAUGGCACCGGUGAAUGACUCCCCUAGCAGCUUGUGAGAGGACGC
rnacentral:rRNA from 1 species